rnacentral:lncRNA from 1 species
GUGGGAUGUUGAUAUCAGGUAGUGUAGGAGUCAGUGAGAUGUUGAUAUCAGGUAGUGUAAGAGUCAGUGGGAUGUUGAUAUCAGGUAGUGCAGGAGUCAGUGAGAUGUUGAUGUCAGGUAGUGUAGGAGUCAGUGAGAUGUUGAUAUCAGGUACUGUAGGAGUCAGUGGGAUAUUGAUGUUGAUAUCCGGUAGUGUAGGAGUCAGUGGGAUGUUGAUGUUGAUAUCAGGUAGUGUUGGAGUCAGUGGGAUGUUGAUAUCAGGUAGUGUUGGAGUCAGUGAGAUGUUGAUAUCAGGUAGUGUAGAAGUCAGUGAGAUGUUGAUUUCAGGUAGUGUAGGAGUCUGUGGGAUGUUGAUGUUGAUAUCAGGUAGUGCAGGAGUCAGUGGGAUAUCAUGUUGAUAUCAGGUAGUGUAGGAGUCAGUGGGAUGUUGAUAUCAGGUAGUGUAGGAUUCAGUGAGAUGUUGAUAUCAGGUAGUGUAGGAGUCAGUGGGAUGUUGAUAUCAGGUAGUGUAGGAGUCAGUGGGAUGUUGAUAUCAGGUAGUGUAGGAGUCAGUGAGAUGUUGAUAUCAGGUAGUGUAAGAGUCAGUGGGAUGUUGAUAUCAGGUAGUG